UGGGGAAUUUUGCACAAUGGGGGAAACCCUGAUGCAGCGACGCCGCGUGAUUUAGAAGGCCUUCUGGUUGUGAAAAUCUUUUCUAUGGGAAGAAAAUGACAGUACCAUAGGAAUAAGGACCGGCUAAUUACGUGCCAGCAGCCGCGGUAAUACGUAAGGUCCGAGCGUUGUCCGGAAUCAUUGGGCGUAAAGGGUACGUAGGCGGGUAAGCAAGUUAGAAGUGAAAUCCUAUAGCUCAACUAUAGUAAGCUUUUAAAACUGCUCAUCUUGAGGUAUGGAAGGGAAAGUGGAAUUCCUAGUGUAGCGGUGAAAUGCGCAGAUAUUAGGAGGAAUACCGGUGGCGAAGGCGACUUUCUGGCCAUAACCUGACGCUGAGGUACGAAAGCGUGGGUAGCAAACAGG
rnacentral:rRNA from 1 species